UUUUAGCAGUGUAAAUUAAACAGAUAAUAACUGACAAAAAAUUUCAAUUCGCAGAAUUUAUUUUAUUAACAAUUUUGAAGAAAUUCUGUCCAGAGUAUAUGUCACUGCAGGGAAGUUAAAUUAUGUAAAAAUCAUCAACUCAGCAUCCACUCCGCAUUCAUUCCACAAAUCACUUCUCAAAUUUUUUACAACAUGUGUAAUUUUCAGUGCUGAAAAUAUAUGGAGAGUAAAUCUGGCACAGCGUCAACAAUCUCAUCGAAAGCAUCGAAAAGAUGAUGAAAAUAUUGAUAAAAUAUUUAAAAUGAAAGAAUCUUUACGUAAAAAAGAAUACCGUCAUAAAUUAAAAUGUUCUCGGCUUAAUGCUAUUUUGAUACAGAAGGAAGGGAACGUUUCACAAUCUUCAGAAAUAUAUAAUUCCGACGAUGUAAAAGAUGAAGAACGAGAAGAAAUAACCGCGACGAAUGAUGUUAUGUCAGUGGACAAUACCCAGCAAUCAGUAAUGCAAUUUCAAGGUAAUACUCCAAUUUCUUCAUUUGUUGCACCAUACGAACAACAUUCCGAAUGUGCAACGCCAUAUGUUUUGUUACGCCAGAACAUGGACAUUUUGGGAGAUGGAAACUGUUUUUUUCACUCUGUAAUUAAAAAAAUGCAGCUUGAAAUUUCACCAAAAGACAUCCAAAAACAGCUUUUAAAUUCAGCACACCUGCACACUGCCCUGAGCCAACUACCGCAAGUAUGGAUAGUCAACAGCUCCAAGAUCUUCUUGAAACAUCAUCUCAUGAACAAAAUUACGAAGUCGAUAAAAUUUUAAAUAACACUGCUAUUAAUGAUGAUUGUCCUACGGAGCUUGAUGAAGUUACAUUCCCAACUUACACCAAUUAUUAUCUACAUAGUAAUGGCCAUUUAGAUUUUCCAAAAAAAUUUCAAAAAUAAUACUUUUGGGUAUUCUUGUGCUGUUUGCGAUAGACUUUGGUGGAAAAACGAUUUAAAAAAAACUUCUGAACAACACGAUGAUAUUUUACAUCUUAUAAUACCGAAUUAUGUAAGUGGCUCUUCAGUUGAUGUUUGUGCUACGUGCAAAAGUUCUUUAGACAGACAGAAAAUUCUAUUUUUAUCAGUUUAUAACGGUUUGUCAUAUCCAGUAAUUCCGUCUCAUUUGCCAAAAUUAAACCUUAUUGAGCAGCGACUUAUUUCACCAAGGAUUCCGUUUAUGCAGAUAAGAAGACUCAGGCAUGUAAAUGGUUAAUAUGGUAUAUAUGGUGAAAUUAUUAAUGUCCCAAUCCAAGUUAACACUAUGGUAAAUCAACUCACUAGAAAUAUUACAGACGACCAUUGUUUCUAUGUACACAUAAAAAAAAAAUUAAUUCAUAAAACAAGCUAUGUACAUGGUCUUAUUAACAAAAAGAACAUCAAAGAAUGGUUGUCAUACCUAGUACAAACGCCACUUUAUAUUCAUCAUGAUAUAGAAAUAGACAAUACAUUUCUUAAUAAUGAUGAAGUAGAUACGGAAUUAGUAAUGGAUGAUAUUAGUGAGCAUGUACCUAUAGAAGACAAUAUCACAGCUCAACAACAAACUCUUCUGUGGAAUGAAGACAGAUUCUUGCAUAUAGCACCCGGUGAAAAGAGUGUUCCACUUAGUCUAUUUUUUGAUGAAUAUGCCGAAGAACUUUUAUUUCCAACUAUCUAUGGUGGUCAGUUCAGAACUUAUAGAGAUAACACUAAUGUAACUUCAUUUAUGCAAGCUGCUAGUGAACUUCGACGUACUGAUCAACGUGGCGUUGAUCCCCAACAUCUUUUAUAUCUGGCUGCAAAAAUUAUGAGGCAGCGAGUAAGUAAAAGUAUUAGUGUUGCUUUUAAACACAUUGGUUACAAUAGCAAGAUUACUAAAGAAGACAUACAGUCUGAAAACUACAUAAAUAACUGUAUCGAAACUAAUCUAGCUUUUCUUCGUUGUAUAACAAAUUCUGCUUGGUGCUGGUCAGAGCAUAAAAGAGAUCUCUUUGCAGUGAUAAGACAAUUAGGAGCGCCAACUGCUUUUAUGACUCUAAGUGCAAAUGAAA